rnacentral:rRNA from 1 species
AGCAGCCGCGGUAAUUCCAGCUCCAAUAGCGUAUAUUAAAGUUGUUGCAGUUAAAAAGCUCGUAGUUGAAUUUCGGGGUCAGUAGGUUGGUCAUGCCUUUGGUAUGUACUGGUCUCACUGAUUCCUCCCUCUUGAAGAACUGUAAUGUCAUUAAUUUGGUGUUGCGGGGAAUCAGGACUGUUACUUUGAAAAAAUUAGAGUGUUUAAAGCAGGCUUACGCUUGAAUACAUUAGCAUGGAAUAAUGAAAUAGGACGUUUGAUCCUAUUUUGUUGGUUUCUAGGAUUGACGUAAUGAUUAAUAGGGAUAGUUGGGGGCAUUAGUAUUCAAUUGUCAGAGGUGGAAUUCUUGGAUUUAUUGAAGACUAACUACUGCGAAAGCAUUUGCCAAGGAUGUUUUCAUUAAUCAAGAACGAAAGUUAGGGGAUCGAAGACGAUCAGAUACCGUCGUAGUCUUAACCAUAAACUAUGCCGACUAGGGAUCGGAUGAUGUUAAUUUUUUAAUGACUCAUUCGGCGCCUUA